ACCGGGAUUGCCUUAGUAACGGCGAGUGAAGCGGCAAAAGCUCAAAUUUGAAAUCUGGUACCUUUGGUGCCCGAGUUGUAAUUUGGAGAGGGCAACUUUGGGACCGUUCCUUGUCUAUGUUCCUUGGAACAGGACGUCAUAGAGGGUGAGAAUCCCGUGUGGCGAGGAGUGCGGUUCUAUGUAAAGUGCCUUCGAAGAGUCGAGUUGUUUGGGAAUGCAGCUCUAAGUGGGUGGUAAAUUCCAUCUAAAGCUAAAUAUUGGCGAGAGACCGAUAGCGAACAAGUACAGUGAUGGAAAGAUGAAAAGAACUUUGAAAAGAGAGUGAAAAAGUACGUGAAAUUGUUGAAAGGGAAGGGCAUUUGAUCAGACAUGGUGUUUUGCGCCCUCUGCUCCUUGUGGGUGGGGGAAUCUCGCAGUUCACUGGGCCAGCAUCAGUUUUGGUGGCAGGAUAAAUCCGUAGGAAUGUAACUUGCUUCGGGAAGUAUUAUAGCCUAUGGGAAUACUGCCAGCUGGGACUGAGGACUGCGACGUAAGUCAAGGAUGC
rnacentral:rRNA from 1 species